rnacentral:misc_RNA from 1 species
AAGUCGUAACAAGGUUACCGUAGGUGAACCUGCGGUAGGAUCAUUUCCAAUAAAAAAAAACCAUUAUCAACACCCUGUCCUGAGAGUGGAUUGGGGGAAAGGAGAAGAAAGAACAUUGUGUUUUUUUUUUUUAUCCUUUCUCACUUUACAUCAGUAAGGCGGUUAUGUGAAACGUUAUGCAAACCUUUUUUUUACUCUCGAAAAAGGGCGACCUUGAGUAGAGAGGCCUUGAUGAACCCAUACAAGCUUGAGAGUGGCAACACUUUCUUGAUUGUUAUCUUAUAUUCUUUUUUUUUCAAACGAAAAAAAAAAUCAAAUAUUUGACAACUUUUAACGGUGGAUCUCUUGGCUCGU